rnacentral:misc_RNA from 1 species
GGAAGGAUCAUUAUCGAGCGAGGGUCCCCGCGGCCCGACCUCCCAACCCCGUGCCUACUUUACCUGUUGCUUCGGCAGGCCCGCCCCCGGGCCGCCAGGGGCCCAGCCCCCGGCCAGCGCCUGCCGAAGACCCAACGAACGCCUCGAAGUGCCGUCUGAGCAACUAUGCAAUAGUUAAAACUUUCAACAACGGAUCUCUUGGUUCCGGCAUCGAUGAAGAACGCAGCGAAAUGCGAUAAGUAAUGUGAAUUGCAGAAUUCAGUGAAUCAUCGAAUCUUUGAACGCACAUUGCGCCCUCCGGUAUUCCGGGGGGCAUGCCUGUCCGAGCGUCAUUACAACCCUCAAGCCCGGCUUGCGUGUUGGGCGUCGGCCCCCCGGGGCCCGCCCGAAAUACAGGGACCUCCCGUUGAAGGGCUCCCAGCGUAUGGGCUAACACCCGCUGAGAGAGACCCCAGACACGGAGGUCGAACCCCCGCAGUUUAACUGUAGCUCGGUGGACCUCGGAUCAGGUAGGGAUACCCGCUGAACUUAAGCAUAUCAAUAAGCGGAGGAAAAGAAACCAACCGGGAUUGCCUCAGUAACGGCGAGUGAAGCGGCAAGAGCUCAAAUUUGAAAUCUGGCCCCUCCGGGGUCCGAGUUGUAAUUUGUAGAGGAUGCUUCGGGCUCGUCCUCGGUCUAAGUGCCUUGGAACAGGACGUCAUAGAGGGUGAGAAUCCCGUAUGGGACCGCCGGACGCGCCCGUGUGAAGCUCCUUCGACGAGUCGAGUUGUUUGGGAAUGCAGCUCCAAAUGGGUGGUAAAUUUCAUCUAAAGCUAAAUACCGGCCGGAGACCGAUAGCGCACAAGUAGAGUGAUCGAAAGAUGAAAAGCACUUUGAAAAGAGAGUUAAAAAGUAUGUGAAAUUGUUGAAAGGGAAGCGCUUGCGAUCAGACUCGCCCGCAGCGGCUCACCUGGGGUUCCGCCCCGGUGCACUCCGCUGCGGUCGGGCCAGCAUCGGUUUGGGCGGUCGGUCAAAGGCCCCCGGAAUGUGUCACCUCUCGGGGUGUCUUAUAGCCGGGGGUGCAAUGCGGCCUGCCCGGACCGAGGAACGCGCUUCGGCUCGGAUGCUGGCGUAAUGGUCGCAAGCGACCCGUCUUGAAACACGGACCAAGGAGUCUAACAUCUACGCGAGUGUUUGGGUGUCAAACCCCUACGCGCAAUGAAAGUGAACGGAGGUGGGAGCCCUCAAGGGUGCACCAUCGACCGAUCCUGAUGUCUUCGGAUGGAUUUGAGUAAGAGCGUAGCUGUUGGGACCCGAAAGAUGGUGAACUAUGCCUGAAUAGGGUGAAGCCAGAGGAAACUCUGGUGGAGGCUCGCAGCGGUUCUGACGUGCAAAUCGAUCGUCAAAUUUGGGUAUAGGGGCGAAAGACUAAUCGAACCAUCUGGUAGCUGGUUCCUGC